AUUCUGCCCAAGCGGGGAAGGAUGAGAAGCUUCGACCAAGGUUCGACUUGAGCGCCAGCGAGAGAGCGUUGCCGCAGGCAACGACCCGAAGGGCGAAGCUCGCAGCGCUGAGUAAUCCUUCCCCCACCACCA
rnacentral:sRNA from 1 species